UCUAGCUUGCUAGAUAUGAUUAGUGGCGGACGGGUGAGUAACAUUUAGGAAUCUGCCUAGUAGUGGGGGAUAGCUCGGGGAAACUCGAAUUAAUACCGCAUACGACCUACGGGUGAAAGGGGGCGCAAGCUCUUGCUAUUAGAUGAGCCUAAAUCAGAUUAGCUAGUUGGUGGGGUAAAGGCCCACCAAGGCGACGAUCUGUAACUGGUCUGAGAGGAUGAUCAGUCACACCGGAACUGAGACACGGUCCGGACUCCUACGGGAGGCAGCAGUGGGGAAUAUUGGACAAUGGGGGCAACCCUGAUCCAGCCAUGCCGCGUGUGUGAAGAAGGCCUUUUGGUUGUAAAGCACUUUAAGCAGGGAGGAGAGGCUAAUGGUUAAUACCCAUUAGAUUAGACGUUACCUGCAGAAUAAGCACCGGCUAACUCUGUGCCAGCAGCCGCGGUAAUACAGAGGGUGCGAGCGUUAAUCGGAAUUACUGGGCGUAAAGCGAGUGUAGGUGGCUCAUUAAGUCACAUGUGAAAUCCCCGGGCUUAACCUGGGAACUGCAUGUGAUACUGGUGGUGCUAGAAUAUGUGAGAGGGAAGUAGAAUUCCAGGUGUAGCGGUGAAAUGCGUAGAGAUCUGGAGGAAUACCGAUGGCGAAGGCAGCUUCCUGGCAUAAUAUUGACACUGAGAUUCGAAAGCGUGGGUAGCAAACAGGAUUAGAUACCCUGGUAGUCCACGCCGUAAACGAUGUCUACUAGCCGUUGGGGUCCUUGAGACUUUAGUGGCGCAGUUAACGCGAUAAGUAGACCGCCUGGGGAGUACGGCCGCAAGGUUAAAACUCAAAUGAAUUGACGGGGGCCCGCACAAGCGGUGGAGCAUGUGGUUUAAUUCGAUGCAACGCGAAGAACCUUACCUGGUCUUGACAUAGUGAGAAUCCUGCAGAGAUGCGGGAGUGCCUUCGGGAAUUCACAUACAGGUGCUGCAUGGCUGUCGUCAGCUCGUGUCGUGA
rnacentral:rRNA from 1 species